rnacentral:pre_miRNA from 1 species
AGACGAAGACAGCUGGCAAAUAUUUUUACAGUAUUUGCUAGUUGCUUUUGUCCCCU